GGGUGCGAGGGUGACUUGGUUGUGACAUCUGUCACCCCACUGAUCUGACUGGCAAGGAAGGUGCCACCUUCUUCUUUCACUGCUCCGUGUGUGUCCCUCCUGAAUCCGCAUGCUUGGUAGAAGAGGAAACUGUCCCUGAAUAGGGUAGGACUGGUAUGAGUAGCUACGCUCUCCUGCUAGAACCUCCAGGCAAGCUUUCAAAACUUCUUCCAGUGUGAUAGGAUAGGACCUGGACUUAAACCUGUAUUGUGUUAAUGAGAAAGCAAUUACUUAGU
rnacentral:snRNA from 1 species